GUGCCAGCAGCCGCGGUAAUACGUAGGGGGCAAGCGUUGUCCGGAAUUAUUGGGCGUAAAGCGCGCGUAGGCGGUUUCUUAAGUCUGAUGUGAAAUCUUGCGGCUCAACCGCAAGCGGUCAUUGGAAACUGGGGAACUUGAGUACAGAAGAGGAGAGCGGAAUUCCACGUGUAGCGGUGAAAUGCGUAGAGAUGUGGAGGAACACCAGUGGCGAAGGCGGCUCUCUGGUCUGUAACUGACGCUGAGGUGCGAAAGCGUGGGGAGCGAACAGGAUUAGAUACCCUGGUAGUCC
rnacentral:rRNA from 1 species